rnacentral:rRNA from 1 species
GACGAACGCUGGCGGCGUGCUUAACACAUGCAAGUCAAACGGAAAGGCCAUGCUCCUGUGGGGUGCUAGAGAGGCGAACGGGUGAGCAACACGUGAGUAACCUGCCCUUGACUUUGGGAUACCUUCAGGAAACUGGGGCUAAUACCGGAAAGGAGCUCCUGCUGCAUGGUGGGGGUUGGAAAGUUUCGGCGGUUGGGGAUGGACUCGCGGCUUAUCAGCUUGUUGGUGGGGAAGUGGCUUACCAAGGCUUUGACGGGUAGCCGGCCUUAGAGGGUGACCGGCCACAUCGACAAGGGGAUAGGGCCCAUACUCCUCAGGGAGGAAGCGGACGGGCAGAUUUCACGGUGAGACGAGGCCUAAUGCAGCAACGCCGGAUGUGGGAUGCAGAUGUUCGGGUUGUGGGCCGCUUUUGGGUGUGGCGAGGAGUCAAGGACGGGACUGGGUGAAUAAGCAACGGCUAACUACGUG